GACGAACGCUGGCGGCGUGCUUAACACAUGCAAGUCGAGCGGUAAGGCCCUUUCGGGGGUACACGAGCGGCGAACGGGUGAGUAACACGUGGGUGACCUGCCUCUAGCUCUGGGAUAAGCCCGGGAAACUGGGUCUAAUACCGGAUAUGACUCCAUGACGCAUGUUGUGGGGUGGAAAGCCUUGUGCGGCUAGAGAUGGGCCCGCGGCCUAUCAGCUUGUUGGUGGGGUGAUGGCCUACCAAGGCGACGACGGGUAGCCGGCCUGAGAGGGCGACCGGCCACACUGGGACUGAGACACGGCCCAGACUCCUACGAGAGGCAGCAGUGGGGAAUCUUGCGCAAUGGGCGAAAGCCUGACGCAGCGACGCCGCGUGAGGGAUGACGGCCUGGUU
rnacentral:rRNA from 1 species